GUAAAAAAUGAAGUCACAACCUGCAAGACAUCUGAGAUUUAUUCUUUUGGUCUUCCAAAGAUGAGAUCAGAGCCAUUACAAUCUAAGGCAAGGUGUUGCAUCCUAUGGGAUGUAGCUUUUGUAUAUGAAGGUGGAACGUACUGGGACAUGACCUUCUAGUCUGACCACUGAAAAGAUGUAGCAUAAACUGCAGUUUUAAACAUGUAGAAUAACAAGAAGCAACUGAAAGAUAGUUCAUAAAAUGUUUCCUCCAGGGUUAUCCACAAUGCUGCCAGCAGUAAAGGAAAAAAAAGGUGUUUUGGAAAUCUAGACAGGUAACAUGAGUCAAGUAAUGUAAACAGCAUGUGUGAGAGCACAUCUCACUGGCUGACAUGUCUGUAUCACGUGGAGGAGUGUGUGCCCAAAAUAACAAAACUACCAAGCAUUUUAUCAUUGUUAUUUUGUGUGGGAGAGCCUGUUAAUCAAGUAAUAGGUAGUGUGCAUUGUCUUGGAUAUGGUAUUACUUCCAAACAGUAGAUGUAUACUUUUCUUUCAUCAACAUGCUUUACUCCUGCAUGUGAAUGAGCUGCCUCUGAUCAUGUGAAAUCAUCUUUACAAUGUAUUUUGUACUGAUUGUGCAGUGAAAAGUUUAUUUGUGAAUGUAGAACUGAAAGGCAAAAUGGCAACAUCUGUAAUGAGUUUUACUACACCACCUCUGGAGUAAGCUAAAGAAUAGCAAAAAGAAAUUUAAAUAAUUCUUCUGCAAGACAAAAAUGGGUGCUUUCACUGAGCAUGCGUUUCAAGGGAGGAUAGCAUCUUGAAAAGGAGAAAAUGCAGUAGUGCAUUAUCUCUUCAUGAGAAAAAAAAGUCUGCAGUAACAUCUGAGAUUUUAAAGAAAAGUAAGAGGGAUGGAAAACGAUCAGUUUCUGGGGACAGAAAUAUCUACAGGCACCAGUAACAAGCAUCAUCAUUGCCAAGUGAAAAGUCUGUUCUAGAGAUUCCUCUACCAUCUCUUUAGAAGAUAAAGGAAAGGGCUACACUCAGGGCAUAUAAACUCUUCAAAUACUUUAGCUUCCAAACUCUAAUAAGUCUUUCAUGAACAUGCAUUAAUUGAAUUAAAAAAUCAUCAGUUGCCAGGUAAAUAAAAGGUAUGCUUUUCACAAUGGAGGACCCAACUUGAUCUUCAAGUUUGUCUUCCCACCUGUAGUGGUAUGGCAAUUUGUCAGUGGAACAGAGGUAAUUUUUUUCACCGUGGCAAAACAAAAAAUACUUUUCUCUUUCUCUUUGUUCCCACAGAUGUGGGGACUAUUUUUAGCUAAAGUUUUCUCAAAAAGAUUCAGCCUAAGGGCAAUUUGGACAAGAGAAACCACGUCCUGAAUUUGUUUGCUCUAAGAAUGGGAAAAAAAACCUCAUAGAAUUUGUCAGGCCUCCUUAAAUAUAGGUAGUGAUAAUCCAAGCAUGUGGCAAGAAUCUGAGUUCUUCACUUAUUAUUACAGAUUAUAAAUUCUUCACUUAUAAUCUAUUACUCACUUAUUAUGCACUGUUUUGGUGUCCUGCACCUCAGAAAAAAAGUAUUGUUUAAAUGUUAAAGCACAAUUAAUGCAGUAAUUAAGAUAGAAAGUUAGAAUUGGGUUCAGUCCUACUUAUAAAAGUAGGUUUCCUCCUCACCUUUAUGAACUGGGGAAUGUCACUUCAUGCAAAGUUUAGUGUUCCCAUAGGGAUCUGCAGAAAAUCCUACCUUUCCUCCUGUUCAGAGUAUAAAUUCUCUGGAAAACAAAUUGCCAUGUGUUGUUACUUUAUAAUACAAAGAACAGCAGAAUCACCAGCCAUUAGAGGAAUGUUAAUAAACAAAACUACCUUACCUGUGUUCAGAAAUCAAUAAUUCACUAACUUUAUGAGCAGUAACAUUUAUCCAGCUCAGCUCUUCAACUUAAAUUGUAAAUAGAUUUUGACUAUUACCUUCAUACAUCAUUAUCACCCUCUUAGAACAGAACACAAAAAUGAGGUAUAUUGCAUCGCUAUUUCUUUUUGAUCGGAAAGUAGUCAUGCAUUUACUGACUGCGAUGGCACUGUUAUUAGUGUAAAUGGGAUAAAUGUAUACAGCAGUGACACCAUAUACCCAUAAAAAUGGAAAUAUCUUGUGCAAGUAUGCAAGGUUUUAAUGAGCCAUGAUUAACUGUAAUGCUGCUUUCUGUUAUGCAAAUAACAGGAUGCAACUGAAAGCAAUGCUAAUAUCUCCAGCAUAUUGGUCAGGUCAUCUCAGUCAAACAGCAGAGGCAUAAGAACUGAAGGCUUUCUGUCUUUUCUGUGGACUAUU
rnacentral:lncRNA from 7 species